rnacentral:rRNA from 1 species
GCCUUACAUGAUACUUAUUCUUCGUUAUCGCCAGAGAACUACAAGUGAAAAACUUCAAACUCAAAGGACUUGGCGGUGUCCCAUACCGACCUAGAGGAGCCUGUCCUAUAAUCGAUAACCCCCGUUCUACCUAACCUCCAUUAGCACUUUCAGCCAUAUAUACCGCCGUCGACAGUCUACCCCAUGAGGGUCUAAUAGUAGACAUAAUAGCUUAACCCGCUAACACGUCAGGUCAAGGUGUAGCACAUGUUGAGGAAGAGAUUGGCUACAUUUUUUAACCUAAAAAAGACGAAAUGCAGCAUGAAACACUGCAUGAAGGUGAAUUUAGUAGUAAGACUGAACAAGAGUGUUCACCUUAACAACGCUCUGGGACGCGCACACACCGCCCGU